rnacentral:ncRNA from 1 species
GGCCGGAUAAGGCGUUUACGCCGCAUCCGGCAUGGUGCUCAACGCCUGAUGCGACGCUGGCGCGUCUUAUCAUGCC